rnacentral:rRNA from 1 species
UGGCUGUCGUCAGCUCGUGUCGUGAGAUGUUGGGUUAAGUCCGUAACCGAGCGCAACCCUUGUCCUUAGUUACCAGCACGUUAUGGUGGGCACUCUAAGGAGACUGCCGGUGACAAACCGGAGGAAGGUGGGGAUGACGUCAAGUCAUCAUGGCCCUUACGGCCUGGGCUACACACGUGCUACAAUGGUCGGUACAAAGGGUUGCCAAGCCGCGAGGUGGAGCUAAUCCCAUAAAACCGAUCGUAGUCCGGAUCGCAGUCUGCAACUCGACUGCGUGAAGUCGGAAUCGCUAGUAAUCGUGAAUCAGAAUGUCACGGUGAAUACGUUCCCGGGCCUU